GAACCUCUAACACGACAAAGGCAUUUCAUUUCUCACAUGUCCGGACAGAGCAGUAUAGGCUACACUGACCACAUCACUAAAGUCCUGUUUCUGGAGCUCAAACGUUCGUCUAUGGACCUCCUCCUUUCUCAGGUUCACCAGCUGGACCAGCACAUAUUUGGAAACAGAUCCAUAAUUUUCAGCAAUGGAUGGAUUUAACCCCUCUGAAUGAUUUGGGCACCUCUGAAGGCCACUAAUGGAGAAAAGUGAAGACUAAGAUGUAACUUCUGAAGUCUGCAAAAGGUUUGAAAUGCAGUAAACUGCAUACAAUCCAAGGAGUGGAAAUUCUGGAUGACAACUCAAAAUGUUCAUAAAGGGUAUGCAGCAUGACAUUUCUCUAUGCAGCAUUUAAAACAGUCAAGCAGUUGGAAAAUCACAACAUCAGUUCCAGCUGAAAUCAAGAGGCUCUAAAUCUGGGUUUUACUAUUAUUUUCUAUGGAUAAGAAAACUUCUUAAUGUAAUGUAAAUGUCCGUGGACGUCUGACAGACAUGUGCUAACUUCAGUGUGCACUGGUAUCUAUUUGCUUUUGUAAUAAAAUACAUUUAAUCACAGUG